UGGGAUUCUGACUGUGACCUGU
rnacentral:miRNA from 1 species